AUACGAAGGGAGCUAGCGUUGUUCGGAAUUACUGGGCGUAAAGGGCGCGUAGGCGGUUCGGCAAGUCAGAUGUGAAAGCCCUGGGCUCAACCCGGGAAUUGCGUUUGAGACUGCUGAGCUUGAAUUCGGGAGAGGUUGGUAGAAUUCCCAGUGUAGAGGUGAAAUUCGUAGAUAUUGGGAAGAAUACCCGUGGCGAAGGCGGCCAACUGGACCGACAUUGACGCUGAGGCGCGAAAGCGUGGGGAGCAAACAGGAUUAGAUACCCUGGUAGUCCACGCUGUAAACGAUGCAUGCUAGACGUCAGAGGGCUUAGCCCUUGGGUGUCGCAGCUAACGCACUAAGCAUGCCGCCUGGGGAGUACGGCCGCAAGGUUGAA
rnacentral:rRNA from 1 species